GGGAACGUGCCCUUUGCUACGGAAUAGCCCCGGGAAACUGGGAGUAAUACCGUAUGUGCCCCUUGGCCUUGGCGGUCAUGGGGGAAAGAUUUAUCGGCAAAGGAUCGGCUCGCGUUGGAUUAGGUAGUUGGUGGGGUAAUGGCCCACCAAGCCGACGAUCCAUAGCUGGUUUGAGAGGAUGAUCAGCCACACUGGGACUGAGACACGGCCCAGACUCCUACGGGAGGCAGCAGUGGGGAAUCUUAGACAAUGGGGGCAACCCUGAUCUAGCCAUGCCGCGUGAGUGAUGAAGGCCUUAGGGUUGUAAAGCUCUUUCAGCUGGGAAGAUAAUGACGGUACCAGCAGAAGAAGCCCCGGCUAACUCCGUGCCAGCAGCCGCGGUAAUACGGAGGGGGCUAGCGUUGUUCGGAAUUACUGGGCGUAAAGCGCACGUAGGCGGACCGGACAGUCAGAGGUGAAAUCCCAGGGCUCAACCUUGGAACUGCCUUUGAAACUAUCGGUCUGGAGUUCGAGAGAGGUGAGUGGAAUUCCGAGU
rnacentral:rRNA from 1 species